rnacentral:rRNA from 1 species
GACGAACGCUGGCGGCGUGCUUGACACAUGCAAGUCGAACGGAAAGGCCCUGCUUUUGUGGGGUGCUCGAGUGGCGAACGGGUGAGUAACACGUGAGUAACCUGCCCUUGACUUUGGGAUAACUUCAGGAAACUGGGGCUAAUACCGGAUAGGAGCUCCUGCUGCAUGGUGGGGGUUGGAAAGUUUCGGCGGUUGGGGAUGGACUCGCGGCUUAUCAGCUUGUUGGUGGGGUAGUGGCUUACCAAGGCUUUGACGGGUAGCCGGCCUGAGAGGGUGACCGGGCACAUUGGGACUGAGAUACGGCCCAGACUCCUACGGGAGGCAGCAGUGGGGAAUAUUGCACAAUGGGCGGAAGCCUGAUGCAGCAACGCCGCGUGCGGGAUGACGGCCUUCGGGUUGUAAACCGCUUUCGCCUGUGACGAAGCGUGAGUGACGGUAAUGGGUAAAGAAGCACCGGCUAACUACGUG